rnacentral:rRNA from 1 species
GAGUUUGAUCAUGGCUCAGAUUGAACGCUGGCGGCAUGCCUUACACAUGCAAGUCGAACGGCAGCAUGAUCUAGCUUGCUAGAUUGAUGGCGAGUGGCGAACGGGUGAGUAAUACAUCGGAACGUGCCCUGUAGUGGGGGAUAACUAGUCGAAAGAUUAGCUAAUACCGCAUACGACCUGAGGGUGAAAGUGGGGGACCGCAAGGCCUCAUGCUAUAGGAGCGGCCGAUGUCUGAUUAGCUAGUUGGUGGGGUAAAGGCCCACCAAGGCGACGAUCAGUAGCUGGUCUGAGAGGACGAUCAGCCACACUGGGACUGAGACACGGCCCAGACUCCUACGGGAGGCAGCAGUGGGGAAUUUUGGACAAUGGGCGAAAGCCUGAUCCAGCAAUGUCGCGUGUGUGAAGAAGGCCUCGGUUGUAAG